rnacentral:rRNA from 1 species
UGGCGGACGGGUGAGUAACGCGUGGGUAACCUGCCUUACACAGGGGGAUAACACUUAGAAAUAGGUGCUAAUACCGCAUGAGCGCACAGGACCGCAUGGUCGAGUGUGAAAAACUGAGGUGGUGUAAGAUGGACCCGCGUCUGAUUAGCUAGUUGGUGAGGUAACGGCCCACCAAGGCGACGAUCAGUAGCCGGCCUGAGAGGGUGGACGGCCGCAUUGGGACUGAGACACGGCCCAAACUCCUACGGGAGGCAGCAG